CUGAUUGGCUCUUUGAGUCAUAUAAAAAUCGGCAGACUGCCCCAAACAGUUCAGUUCGGCAGUAUAUGUUCUGUUAGUGUGAGCGAGAGGCAGGUAUACUGGUAAACACUCUUCUGAGUUUAAACUGACUUCCACAUGGUCAAAACACGAUCCCGGUGUUGCCACUCCUCAGUAAGGACAGUAGCUAUUGGCUGUCCUAAAAGUCGCUGAAUUACGUCAUCGCCUAAUUUGCAUAAAGGUCUGUUCGCAUGUGAUUGACGCUGUAGAAGAGAAGAAUAACGUCAUGGGGGAGACAAAAGUACAUUUUUCCAGUGCUUGUCGAUUCACUAAAAUCAUGUCACAGAUGAAGGAACACAAGCAGUAGCUACCCCUCUCACAAGUCCUAGAACUGCAUCUCUGGCAGCACCUGUCAUCAUGCCUCCAACAUCUGCUAUGGAACCAGCAUUCAUGAGAGAUCUAUAGAUAGGUCAAAAUUUUGCACUCAUUUGGGGGCAUGUUACUGGGCCAAGAUUUUGUCAAUGACUGAAGAGGACCGCAUGAAGGCUAUCUGGGAGGUCCUGCACAGUGACGACCCAGAGGCUAAAGAACCUUUUUUGUUUUUGAGCACAGGGAGGAUAUGGAGCUGUUUUUGCAAGCCUGUCAUGAUGAGCAGAGACUCCGGAUCAAUACAAUGUUUACACAUUGUCCCUCACGCAGUGCCCCUCACCAAAAAAUAAAAUAAAAUAAAUUAUUGUAAAUGAA